rnacentral:lncRNA from 1 species
GUUUUUUGCAGCUUUGCUUGACAUCAGCACGUUUCCUUCCCUAGGGGUUACCCCCAGCAGUGUGUGAGAAUGAAGAGUGUGGGCCACUGUGUCUCUGUUGACCUGCCAGAUAGGAAAUAGCGCCAGAGUUGCUGCAAUCCACGUCUCCCUGGAAUUCAGGAGCAGCUUGGCUGGAAGGCUCUGGCUGGAAGCUUGCAGAAGGCUGUCAGCUGGGUCUGCAUCAUCUGAAGGCUCAACGGGUACCGGGGGCCACUCCAUGGCCUGCGAGUCAGAGCUGGCCGUCGGUGGGAGGCCUCAGUUCCUCUCCACAUAGGCCUCUCCACAGGGCCACUUGAGCAUCUUCCCACCAUGGCAACUGGUGUCCUCUAGAGCAACAUCCAGGAGACCAAGGCGGAAGCAGCUGUAGUGCCUUCUAGGACCUGGUCCUGAAAGUCACCCCUGCACCCACCCCCGCUGUCUCCUCAGCCAUAUUCUGCUGGUCACACAGGUCAGCUCUAAUUCCGUGUGUGCGUCAGGCCUACACAGGGUGUGAGCACCGGGAGGCUGGGAUCGUCAAGGGCUCGUUAGGAAGCGGUUACCACAGAGGGGACAGGGGAGGAGGUGUGAAGUUUAAAGAGAGGAGAGGAGGUUUGACGAGUGGGAAGCCAUGCUGACCUGUGGGAUCGCCCUGCAGGCUGAGGGUUCUUUACACGUUGGUGACCGUGUUAUUCCAGAGUGGCAGCGUCACAGCCUUUGCACAGGGUGGUCUGACCGAAUGUCCCC